AGCGAUCCAGACAGACAACACAGAAAACAUAAGUAGGAAUUUGUGCUCUACUACAUAAACGACCAACCUAACCACCUUUAUAAACCCAAUCGAAAAACACGCCUCCACCUCCCACCCACCUCUUCUCCUAUCAUGGCCAUCGCCGCCUGCUACUUCACCGCCUCCCUCUCCAACUUCAAUCCCAGUCUCAAUCUCCAUCGACCAUUUCUUUCCUCCCACUCAUCACCUCUUCUCCACCUCCGCCUCUCCCUCUCCUCGCCCUCCAUUUCUCCUCUUUCCCUCCGCCACCAACACACUAACCCUUUCCCCCUCUUCGUCCCUUCCGCUUCUUCUUCUGGCGGAGAUGGAAGCUUCAAUAAUGGCCCCCCUUCCAGCGGCGGCGGUGGUGGAGGCAAUGACGACUAUAAUAGUAAUAACAGCGGCGGUGAUGAGGAUGGUGAUAAUGCUGCGAACAGGAACACGAAAGAGGCGAUGAUGGUGUUAGCGGAGUCGAAGCGGGCACUGGAGACUUUGCCCAAGGACUUGGCGGCAGGGAUCCAGGCCGGCAGAAUUCCUGGUGCGGUGGUUUCAAGGUUUUUAGAGCUCGAGAAGUCGGGGUUGUUCCGGUGGUUUCUUCAGUUCGGUGGGUUCAAGGAAAGGCUGUUGGCUGAUGAUCUGUUUUUUGCUAAGGUCGGCAUUGAGUGCGGUGUUGGUAUCUUCACUAAGACUGCUGCAGAAUAUGAACGUCGCAGAGAGAAUUUUUUCAAGGAGCUGGAAAUUGUUUUUGCGGACGUGGUGAUGGCCAUAAUUGCAGAUUUCAUGCUUGUUUAUCUUCCUGCUCCAACAGUAUCCCUCCGACCACCUCUUGCAAGCAGUGCUGGACCUAUUGCAAAGUUCUUCUACAGCUGCCCUGAUAAUGCAUUUCAGGUUGCUCUUGCUGGAACUUCCUACUCAUUUUUACAGAGAAUAGGUGCUAUUGUGCGUAAUGGGGCAAAACUUUUUGCUGUUGGCACCACCUCAUCACUGGUUGGCACAGCUGUGACGAAUACAUUGAUCAACGGACGGAAGGCUGUAGAUAAGUCUUCAGCAGGUGAAGUUGAAAAUGUGCCUAUAUUGUCCACCAGUGUUGCCUAUGGUGUCUAUAUGGCAG
rnacentral:misc_RNA from 1 species